ensembl:snRNA U6 U6 spliceosomal RNA
GUGCUCAACUUCAGCAGCUCAUAUACUAAAAUUGGAACAAUACAGAGAAGAUUAGCAUGCCUCCACCCCUGCAGGGAUGACAUACAAAUUCCUAAAGCCUUCCAUAUUUUA